ensembl:lncRNA
AGACCUCCCCCGUCAGAGGUCACAAGGGACACCUUGGAUAUAAUUGUUUAUGAGCUUUCCCUCUCCGUGUAGAAGGGACCAAGUCUUAUGUUCAUCUCAGGAUUGUUCUAGAACUGUGAGGAGACCAGACCGGACCGAAAAGCGCGUUAAUUAGUGAGGUACCGUCUGGCACAUAUUAUGGACCAUGCAGGUAUAUUUAAAAUAACUCUCUAUUGAGGACAGAUUUGUUCGACCCCUUAGGUUGUUGUUGUUUUAGUUGACAUCAAUGUUGUUUCCAUUUGUUGGGGGUCGGGGUAAAGAUGCAGUAUUCCUUUUUCAGUAAAACAAAUCACUAGGUUGUGAGGCGUUAUUUUCAUUUCCUCACCGGUUUAUCCCUAUUCAUGGUGAUACGAGUGCUUAGUGGUACCAGCUGUGUACAUAUUAGUGUCUAGCUGGCUGGACAUACACUGGUGUCAUAGAAUAAUUAGUCUGCAUUACACAGAUAAGAUAUAUUUUUAAAUAGGCCCCUUCCUGUGAUGUUGCCUUUGCUGGUUUAAGGCUCAGGUCAUAGGUUUCAAAAAGAAAAACGAAAAACAGGAGCAGUAUAUCAAUGUCCGCUAGAUGGCGCCAUGUAUUUGCCUUUUCAUUGCAGUACAUAAAUCCACUCAUUCCUUUUCUACCGGUAAUCAUGACAGUGUUAUAGUUCAUUCUCGAUAUAAAUUGCUUCUUCUUUUUUAACCCUGUGCUCUUUAGAAAUGGAUACUGCAUCUUUGGAGUCGACAUGUUUGUUUUCAUCAUCUUAAGUGUUUUUUUUUGUCAGGGUUGAAAUUACUAAUUUUUCAAAAGUAAGUUUUGAGAAGGCUGUGACAAAGUAAGGAAUAUAUAAGCCAGAGAGAAGUCCACGAGCACCGACCCCGCUCAUGGUUUCCAAGAACCUCAUCUCAGUGUUAGUGCUACUACCUUGUGUAAAAAACUCCUAGAUGUCAUGUGAGCCGUUUAGUUCCUCUACCCUGUUCUCAUAGCUCAGAGUUGAGCUCUAACCUGGUCCCAGAGCUCAGAGAGGAGCGGACUACUACCUGCUCUGCGCAAAAGCUCCUCCCCCUCCGCGCUAAAGCUCCUCCCCUCUGUUUACCGCAUCAAGUCCCUUCACGAAGAUGUCCCGCUAUGAAAUGAUUGUAGAUAGAUUUUAAUUCAAUUUGAAUCUUUUGAUGUUGUUUGUGUUUCUUUGUAGCUGGCCUACAUCAUUAUUGAUUUAAUUUAUUAUGAAUGACUAGUCGGGAAUUGUGUUUAUUCAAAAUAAUCUGGCAGCUUUAGGAAUAGUUUUCUCUGAUCCCCUGAUUAGUAUUAUUGAGAGGAAGCACAGCAGAUAUGAUAAGGAGUUUGACAGUAUUGAGAGCUUGAGGAGACAUGGUUCAGACUCUCCUCUUAGGGUCGAUCCACCCAUUGUUGUGUUUCUAAUGGGAUCAUUCAUCAUAUCUCGGAGGCAAUCGAGGGUUAGAGGCCAGUGUUCCAAUGAAGUCUUCCACACAUGCCUUUGCAAUAUACUUUAUAACAGGGUAAUUAAGAGGUUAUGCCUUAACCAGGUUUUCUGACAUUUCCCCUCCCCUCUUUCCCUCCCUAUGAACAAUACUAUUGAACUUACAUCAGUUUCUGUAAAUGUCAUGUAAACCACAUACCCGCUCCUUUGGGAAGCUCAUAUUUCCAACCUCCUUCUCCUCUCCAAUGGCAACCGAACAAGCAACCCUGGCCAGUGUAGUGCUCAUGGGUUUACAGAAGAAUAAAUAAAUGAAUAAAAGCAAAAACAACAUGCAUGGAAUAAAUGCUGAGGUACUGUACCC